rnacentral:rRNA from 1 species
AGCUAAAUGUUGUAAGUAAAUAAAAAUUAUGAAAGCAAAAAAUUAUGGCGGUAUUUUAAGCUUUUCAGAGGAAUUUGCUCUUUAAUGGAUAAAACACCUAAAUCUUACUUAAAUUUGUUAAUUCAAUUUGUAUACCACUAUAAAAACAAUUUAUAACUUUAAUUGUUUAAAUUUAUUAAAUUAAAAUAUAUUAAGUCAAGGUGCAGUAAAAAUUUAAGAAUGAAGUGAAUUACAUUACUCUUUAGAGAAAUAGAUUUAAAAUAAUAUUUAGGAUUUGAAAGUAAAAUUAAAAUAGAAUGUUGGUUUGAAUUAAGCUCUAAAAUAUGUACAUAUCGCCCGUCACU